GUACUCUCACACUCUCUAAUCUUGCAUUGGAGAGCGGUGGACUUGGAUGUUGCUGCUUUGCUUUUGGCUCAUCUGAAAUGGGUUAGUGCAUCUCAUGGUUGGACUAGUACAGCGUGAUAAGCAUCUUCGCUGGCACCUUUCAUUGGGAUCCAACUUGGAGCUCUGUGCUUCAAACUGUCCUUGCGACAAAUAUCUGACA
rnacentral:misc_RNA from 1 species